rnacentral:lncRNA from 9 species
UUUUUUUAUUUUAGAUACAGAUAUAUUUCUAAAAGUUUUGCUUUUUGUCCCUGUCUCUUAAAUUUUUUUCAUUAUAGUUGAUUUACAAUGUUGUGUCAAUUUCUUCCAUACAGCAAAGUGACUCACUCAUAGUUAUGCAUACACAGUUUUUCUCAUAUUAUCUUCCAUCAUGUUCUAUCUCAAGAGACUGAAUAUAGUUCCUUGUGCCAUACAGUAGGAACUCAUUGUUUAUCCAUUACAAAUGCAAAUGUCCCAUUGUUGACACUGUUUACUUUUGCAUCGUUCAGGACAAUUAUUAAGUUUUAAUCUUUAUUAAUUUCUAAAAUUAGUCUUAAAAAAUGGAGAUUUUAUCCACCGUUUUAUACGGAAGUCUCCUCUUCCUUCUCUUAUGCUCUGCAGAACUCUCCUGGGAAAAAGCACAGACUCCAUUCUCUCUUCUCAUCUGAGCCUCUAGUCUUUACCUGUACUCUCUUUACUUUGCAACUUGUCUUUGAAAUGCAGUGAAAUGUGGGAUAGUUUAGGGUUUUCUAAGUUACUCUCUGUCUAGAAUCUCUACUAAAAACAAAUUAUCAAAUACACAGAGAUGAGGGCAUUUAAUACAUCUUGGAAAUGCCAUUAAAAAAAAAAAGUGCCUCCUUCAAAACAGCUCAGUGAAAUGGCUAUUUAAUAACUUUUACAUGGUACUAUCCAAAGCCCAUAAAAUUACAAAAUAAUUUCCUAAAAUAUGAUUUUCUUUACUGUGUUGGUUGUUUUGAGGGAAAUGUGUAAGAGGAAUUUUUCAAUUUCCCUCUCAUAUGUACAAUGUCUGAGUGACUUUAAACUAAGCAACAUCCCUAAAACAAGAAUAGCGACUCCAUGGAUACAGGGUGAAGCUAUAGAAGUAUGUCUCUGAGCAUGAGCAAAAUUCAAGAAUGAUUUCUACCCUAACAGAUAGUUUAACCUGUCCUACUCAGUCUAGACAUUUUAUAGAAUUUUUACAAAUUAAAAGUAAUAGUUGAAGCCUUUAUGGAAAAGAGUUAGUCUGAUCUUGGUUCCUUUACAAUAAUAAUUUGUGAUAAAAUACCUUAAAGUUUGCAAUCCCAGUGAAAAUCAGCUAUGAGAGAAACAACUGUUUGGAGUAGAUUCUAUAUACAAGUCCAAUGAGUUUGCUUCCUCUUCAUUGUGGUCAUUUUCUAGCUCAGUAAUUAAUUCCACAACUUCACUGUCCAACUUUCUCUCACUCUGUUUGCUAAUCAUCUUUAAUUUUAUUUUUCAAGGUUCCAGCGCAUACUAUACCCUUCAGUCUGCUUCUCCCUGAAUCUUACUUUUCCUCUCAUUUUUUUUUUCAUUCUUUCUCUCACUUGUGCCAAUUCUUCAACAAUUGUCCUCUUCUGCACUGUUUCAAAGUACAUUAUAUAUCUCCCUUUGAGCUGUGAAUAAUAGAGCAUUAAAGGAAUUUUUGUUCAGAGGACAAGCAGUGUGUGGUGCUCUGAAUUUUUCCCCCUGGUUUUUAAUCUUCUCAUGGAAUAGCCAGUAACUGAAGGAAUGGUUCACACAGUACCACCAAUUCUUUUGGAUCUCAGUUGGUUCUUUGAAUUAUUGUGGAGAGGAUUUAUUUUCCCUGAGAAACAUCUUUGAGGAGAAAAAGAAGGUGAAUUUCAGGAUAUGCUGACAUGAACACGUGAGUGAGUGAGUGUGAUUCUUUUGUGGAAAAGUUUGAUGUGCCACGGAAUAAAGACAAAGUUCUAUUCAUGUUGAUCAAGCCAUGGAAGGAGGGGCUACCAUGAUCAUACAUGUGGUUUGGUUGAAGCUAAAUAUAAGAUCAGAUCUAAUGUAUUCCUAUAUGCUGUAGACCCUACAUUUAACAUACGGGCUUCUGUUCAAAAAUAGUUAUUCAUCCAUUGGAAGACUGAGUUUCAUUUAUCAUCACAUUAUCUGUACUAAUCAUUGUAAUUGAUGCUUGCUGUAGCAGAUAAACCACCAACUUUUAGUCACUGAAUAAUAUCUUGCUCUUAUAAAGUAUACAAACAAGUAGGGCAUGGCCAGUGAGUAAACAGCUCUCCUAUAAGCAGUGAUUAAAAAUGGCAGGAAACUUCUAUUUGGUGGUUCCUCCAUCUUUUCCAUGUGGCUUCCAUGUUCACCCAGUUGGUUUGCAUCAAGACCCAGAAAAGGAAAGAAUGGAGUAUCAAAUUUUGGAUGUGGACCACAUCAUUUUGUUAGCUCUUGGGCUUUUUUGUUUUGUUUUGUUUUGCUUUAUUGGGGGCCCCGCCCCCAGCAGGCAGAUAUUCUUGGCCAAUGAUCUGAUCUAUCGCCUGCCACAGCAGUGGCCUGAGCCAUAGCAGUGACAACUUGGGAUCCUUAACCUACUGAGCCACCAGGGAACUCCACAAAUGGCUUGUUAAGCAACAGCAACAAGGCAAUUUAGUCUAGACAAAUAUUCUGAAAGAAGUGGUUGUGGUGAGCAUCUAGUUAUUCUGGGUUAUAGUAUCUUUAGCUACCUACGUGUUGAAAAUAGAGAAAACUUAUUGAACUACUCUGAGAAGGGCUAUUUUAUCCAUAAAAUAUUUAGAAAUAAUUGCUUAUAUAAAUUAUAUGGAUGAAUGACAUUAGAUGUAUUUCAUAACAUUAAGUAAAAUUGGCCAUUAAAUUGACUAGCAAGAACUUUAGGCAAGCAGCCAGCUAGGCAAUCAGUUAAUUCAACUUUUAAACAUAGUGUGUUUGGAAAGAAGUGUUCAGUCCUGAUGUGUAUAGCCUCUGAAGAAAUGCUUCUUUGAAGAUAUUAGCACUUCAUAUAAAAUCCAGUAUUUGUGUAUAUGAGAGAGGCAUGUCAAAAUGUGGGAGGUUAGGGCACAGAUGCAUUGUAUAUAAAUCCAUUUUGUUCAAAAUAUUGACCUUGAGUUGUGGCUCAGCAGUUAAUGAACCCGACUAGCAUCCAUGAGGACGUGGGUUCGAUCUCUGGCCUUGCUCCGUGGGUUAAGGAUAUGGCGUUGCCGUGAGCUGUGGUGUAGGUCACAGAUGCGGCUUGGAUCCCGCAUUGCUGUGGCUCUGGCAUAGGUCCAGGGCUACAGCUCCAACUCAACCCCUGGCCUGGGAACCUCCAUAUGCCAUGGGUGAGGCCCUAAAAAUGACAAAAAGGCAAAUAAAUACAAAAUAUUGACCUGGAUAUAUUUUAGAUUGUCUAUAAGGUAUUUUAAAAUAUGCAAUCAUAUAAUUAAUUUUAUUUCACUUUAUCUUAUUGCUGUAAUCUUCAAAAUAUUUCUCAAGUGUAGAAUGAACUGUUGAGUUGAGAUCUGAGGGUAAAUAUUGUUGCUUUAUAACACUGGUUAAGGAAGUGAGAAUAAAUACUACAGCUAGGUAAAUGCAUAUAAAUGGCAUCAUGGAAGAAUGCUUUCUUGGAAGUUCCAUUGUGGCACAGCAGAAACAAAUCUGACUAGUGUCAAUGAGGAUGCAAGUUUAAUUCCUGGCCUUGCUCAGUGGGUUGGGGAUCUGGCAUUUUAAUGAGCUGUGGUGUAGGUUGCAGACAUGGCUUGGAUUGUGCAUUGCUGUGGCUGUGGUGUAGGCCAGAAGCUGUAGUUCCGAAUCAACCCCUAGCCUGUGAUCUUUCAUGCACUGAGGUUGUACACCCAAAAAAGCAAAAAAAAAAAAAAAAAAAAAAGAAAUUUCCCUGGAACCAAGGAAUAUGUAGAUGACAUGACAGAAAGUGUUUUGCAAAUAAAAUUAAGGUUAGAGACUUUAAAACAGAGAAAUUAGAGUGGAUUUUCCAAUUGGGCCCAAUCUAUUCAUGUGGGCCCUUAAAAGCUGUGAUUUUUUCUGCUUAUGGUGCAGAAAAAAAAUGUGUCAUCAGGGAAAAUCAGAGCGAUUCAAAGACUGAGACAGACUCCCCUUACCUUUGCCAUAUGGAAAAUUCUAGAAGGAAUUGGGACAAUCUUUGUGAACAAAGACUAUCUCGUUGACCACGAACAAGAAAAUGGGGAUGCUAUCAAAAAUGCAAGGAACAGAAUUCAGGGAAUAACCAAAAUGCUGGAAAGCUAAUUCUUCCCUAGAGCUUCCAGAACAUACUGCAGCUCUGCCCACAUCUUGAUUUCUACCUUGUGAAAUGCCGUAAGGACACUAAGCUGAGCCAUAUCAUACCUGGGCUUUUGACCUGCAGAACUGGGAGGUGAGAAAUUUGCGUUGUUUUCAUAUACAAGCUCUGUGUAAUUUAUUAUGGCAGCCAUAGAAAACUAAGUCAAUUAUGAGAGGAAAAAAAAAAAAAAGACAGUGAGGAAGAUGGGUCUAAUCUCCAUCGUCUGAAAGAUUCCAUAUAUCCACAGAUGACACACAAAGGCCACCAACACCACUAAAUGAUUCAUUAAAUCUUCAGGCUGACAUUAAAAAAACAUAGUAAUGUAACUUCAAACAUUUUUUUAAAGAAAAUAAUAGUGUUCUAUUUUUCAGGUCUUAAUUUUUUUAAAGGAGACAUGAAGCAUCUGUUUCUCAACCUUGGAAAUCUAGUUCAUUAUUCUAAUCCAGUUCAAUCCAGCUUUUUCUGUCAAAAUAGUCUAUUUCUCUCUGUUUUAUAAUCACUUCAUGUCCAACUCUUUUCUAGAAUUUACAAUCAUAUGUUUCCAUUUUUUUUAAAAUUAUGUUUGUCUCUCUCCCUAUAUUAUAAAUGCAGUAUCGAAUAAAUAUAUAACUUUUCUCUUGAGCCAAUAUUUUAGGCCAUGCCCACAGCAUGUGGGUGAUUCCAGGCCAGGGAUCCAACCCGCACCACAGCAGUGACCCAAGCUGCUGAAGUGACAAUGCCCGAUCCUUAACCUCCUAUACCACAAGGGAACUCACGAUUCAAUUUUUAUUUAAGAAGACAUUUUUGUUUUUGUUAUUACACACAUGUUGUGUCUUCUUAAAUUGCUAUUAUUAUUAUUAUUUUUUUUAAGGCCGUACCCAUGGCAUAUGGAGGUUUCCAGGCUAAGGGUCAAAUUGGAGCUGUAGCUGCCGGCAUACACCACAGCAAUGCCUGGAUCCAAGCCGAGUCUGCAACCUACAGCAGAGCUCAUGGCAAUGCUGGAUCCUUAACACUGAGCAAGGCCAGGGAUUGAACCUGAGUCCUCAUGGAUAUUAGUUGGGAUUGUUAAUGCUGAGCCAUGAUGGGAACUCCCAAACUGCUAUUAUUACUUUUAAACUUUGCUGAGUUAUUAUCAGGGAAUGUGACCUUUACAAUGUAAAUGUUGUGCUUAAUGUUUUCUGACGUACAUAUUAAAUAUAUAUAUAAGUUAAUUUAAUUCAAUUCUAUACUUUAAAAUGUAUAAAUUGGAGUUUCCAUUGUGGCUCAGCUGGUUAAGAACCCAACUACGAUCCAUGAAGAUCCAGGUUCAAUCCCUAGCUUUGCUCAGUGGGUUUAAGUAUCCAGUGUUGCCAUGAGCUGCGGUAUAGGUCACAGACGUGGCUCAGAUCUGGCAUUGCUGUGGCUGUGGCAUAGGCUGGCAUCUGCAGGUCUGAUUCAAUCCCUAGCUUCGGAACUUCCAUAUGCCACAAGUAUGGCCAUUAAAAAAAUAACAAUAUGUGUAUGUGUAGAUAGAUAGAUAGGUGAUAGAUACAUUAUCCUUUCUCAUUUUAGGAUUAUGGUAUUAAACUGAUACCAUACUUUUUCCUACAAAUUGUAUGAUAACAAGAAAAACAAUUUUAAAAAUAAAUGUCAGUGAUUUUUAUGAAACUACAAGUGAUUUAAAAUUCCAAAUACCAUAUUUUAAAGGAAAGAAGGAAUGAUAAUUAAAAACAAAAAAGUAGUACGUACCAAAAGAACUAUAUGUGAGAUGAAGCCUAAAGGCCAGAGCUUAUCCUUAGGGCUAUCCAAAAGCAAAAAUUCCUUCAUAGUCAGGAGUACAGCCUGUGAUACAACCUAAAUGCCUUAUGUGGAGCAGCCAGAAUUGGAACAUGCAUUAAUAGCAGAUGCUCCCCAUCUCCCUGUUUAUGAAAAUCAAGGGGGCAGACCCAAAUGGAGGUUUACACAGGCAGGUCAGAAUUUCAGGAAACUGCUUGCCUCUGUGCUAACAGGGUCAAUGCAAGACUUCAAACUGAAAAUACUCUCCAGUUGAACCUUGCUCUUAGGUGGAGAAAAGUGAUGUCCAAUUAAACUCAUACACAAUUCCAUCUAUGUAAAGCUCAUGUUUCAAAGAUGAAUAAGGAAGAUGGAAAUGGAUCGUGAAUAUAUAAAGAUAGCACAAAAGUAAUAAAACAUAUGGAAUAUGAAAAAUAGUUGUAAAUAAAUAACACCAGAAAAAAUGAGAUAUGUGUAUAAAUGUAUGUAUACACUAUUUUUAUGUACAUCCAUGUCUGUCUAUUUAUCUAAUGCAGAUAAAAUUCUGAAACAAAAUAUCUGUGAGAUAAAAUGACAAGUUGGAAUGGAGCAACCUUACAGUUAUAAUUUUAGAUAGACACAACACAUAACAAUGUGGAAGCAAUUUUGUUGUUGCCAUAAAUUACCCUUCAGUAAAGGGACUGCGCUUUAAUGUUAUCUAUAAUUCUGACUUUAUUAUUUAAAGACACUUUAAUUCUGACAUAUGAUUUGAGAGGAUA